UCCACAACCUGGAAGUUUUGCGUUACAAUCCAACGGUUUCUCGUUCCACUGUGACAUUUCGAAGGCUUACGGUUUGAAAUAAUGUCACAGAUACGUCUUUAAUUGCCGUGUUAGUUUUCAAGAUAACAGGAGCCGUUCUUCCGAACUGUAACUUCAAAAGAGUACAGGUGAGGUACAGGUGCAGGUGAGUGAUGCCUGUGUGUUCUAGCAGUGACUGUCCCCAUCUGCAGUGUGUAGGAGAGAUCACCAAGGAAGAACUCAUCCACAAGUCACAUGGCCAGUGUCAAGACUGCAAGAUUGGAGGACCAAAUCUGUGGGCGUGUCUGGAGAACCGCUGUGCGUAUGUGGGCUGUGGAGAAUCUCACGCUGACCACAGCACCGUCCACUCACAGGAGACGGGGCACAACCUGACAGUGAACCUGACCACCCUGAGGGUGUGGUGUUAUGCCUGUGGGAAAGAGGUGUUCCUGGAACGUAAACUGGGCCCUCACUCCCCUGUCCCCAGCACGAAGACCCUAACAUCACCUCACAACAACAACAACACACAGGAGUGUAGCAGGGUGCAGGGCCGCUCCACCUCUCUGAGACUGCCCCCUGCUGGUGGCUGUGAAGACCUGGGCAUGGAGACCGAGGAGGAGGACGAGCUCCGCGCCAGAGGGCUGACUGGACUGAAGAACAUAGGAAACACCUGCUAUAUGAACGCAGCCCUGCAAGCCCUGUCUAACUGUCCUCCUCUGACCCAGUUCUUUGUGGAGUGUGGAGGUCUGGUGAGGACAGACAAGAAGCCUGCUCUGAGUAAGAGCUACCAGAAACUGGUGUCAGACCUCUGGCACAAGAACAGGCCAUCCUAUGUUGUCCCUACCAGUCUGUUCCAGGGGAUCAAGGCUGUUAACCCCAUGUUCAGAGGAUACUCACAACAGGACUCUCAAGAGUUCCUGCGCUGUCUGAUGGACCAGCUCCACGAGGAACUGAAGGAGCCGCUGGCCGAGCCCCCCGACAACGACCUACACUCUCACGCCAUCGCCAUGGACGACGGCCCCGACGACGACAGCCCCAGCCAGUCGGACAACGACUUCCAGUCGUGCGAGUCGUGCGGCAGCAGCGAGCGGGCGGACAGCGAGGGCCAGGGUGGGAGCGGAGACGGGCAGGCGGCGCCAUCGGGGGAGGAGUCUAAGGAAGCGGAGAUGCUGAUCCCUGAUGGGCCUGACUCCUCCCUCUCCUCCGGCCAGACCAAUAGGGAGUGGCAGAAAGAGAAGAACCUGAUCAACGACCUCUACCGGGGGUCGGGGGGCGCGGGGCCUUCAGGGGGAGACCUGGAUAAAGACGUGGAUGCCACUCCCACCAACGAGGCCACGCCCAUCAGCAACCAGGGGGCAAUCAAAGUCCAGAUAGAGGGACGCAUGGCUGAGGUUCAGGUAGUGUCCAGAAGCAACCGAUCCCAGAGUCCAAUCCCCAUGGAGGGACACUGCCUCACCAAGAUCUCCUCCAGCCCCCCCAAGACUAACUCUGUCUGGCCAGGAAUAUCCUCCAGCCCCCCCAAGACUAACACUGUCUGGCCAGGAAUGUCCUCCAGCCAUAAGAAAGUGACCUCACUCUCCUCAGCAAAGAGCCAGAAGUACCGCAGUGUGAUAUCAGACGUGUUUGAUGGGACCAUUGUCAGCUCAGUGCAGUGUCUGACCUGUGAUAGGGUGUCAGUGACUCUUGAGAACUUCCAGGACCUGUCCCUGCCCAUCCCAGGCAAGGAGGACCUGGCUAAGCUCCACUCCUCCUCCCACCAGACCUCUCUGGUCAAGGCUGGCUCCUGUGGAGAGGUCUACGCAGCCCAGGGAUGGGUCGCCUUCGUCAUGGAAUACAUCAAAAGCUGGUUCUGGGGUCCUGUGGUGACCCUACAGGACUGUCUGGCUGCCUUCUUCACCAGGGACGAGCUGAAAGGUGACAACAUGUACAGCUGUGAGAAAUGCAAGAAAUUACGGAAUGGAGUGAAAUUCUGCAAAGUUCAGAGUUUGCCAGAGAUCUUGUGCAUCCACCUGAAGCGGUUUAGACAUGAGCUGAUGUUCUCCACUAAGAUCGGGACUCACGUCUCCUUCCCAUUGGAGGGCCUGGACCUGCAGCCCUUCCUGGCCAAGGAUAGGUCCGCCCACACCACCUCCUACGACCUGCUGUCUGUCAUCUGUCACCAUGGCACCGCCAGCAGUGGUCACUACAUAGCCUACUGCAGGAAUGACCUGAACAACCUGUGGUAUGAGUUUGAUGACCAGAGGGUCACCGAGGUGUCAGAGUCCUGCGUCCAGAACGCUGAGGCCUACGUCCUCUUUUACAAGAAGAGCAACGAGGACGCUCCGAAGGAGAGGAGGAGGGUGACCGGUCUACUCAGCAUGACGGAGGCCAGUCUGCUACAGUUCUACGUCUCCAGACAGUGGCUCAACAAGUUCAAGACCUUCGCUGAGCCUGGACCGAUCUCCAACGACGACUUCCUCUGCUCACACGGAGGUGUGCCACCUGCCAAGGCAGCGUUCAUCGAUGACCUGGUAGUGAUGCUGCCUCAGAAUGUGUGGGACCACCUCUACAGCAGGUACGGAGGAGGGCCUGCUGUCAACCACCUGUACGUGUGUCACACUUGUCAGACAGAGAUUGAGAAACUGGGAAAGAGACGCAAGACAGAGCUGGACAUGUUUAUCCGGCUGAACAAGGCGUUCCAAGAGGAGGAGUCUCCACUGAUCAUAUACUGCAUCAGCAUGCAGUGGUUCAGAGAGUGGGAGGGCUUCGUCAAGGGAAAGGACAAUGGUGAGUGGUUGGUUCAGAGAGUGGGAGGGCUUCGUCAAGGGAAAGGACAAUGGUGAGUGGUUGGUUCAGAGAGUGGGAGGGCUUCGUCAAGGGAAAGGACAAUGGUGAGUGGUUGGUUCAGAGAGUGGGAGGGCUUCGUCAAGGGAAAGGACAAUGGUGAGUGGUUGGUUCAGAGAGUGGGAGGGCUUCGUCAAGGGAAAGGACAAUGGUGAGUGGUUGGUUCAGAGAGUGGGAGGGCUUCGUCAAGGGAAAGGACAAUGGUGAGUGGUUGGUUCAGAGAGUGGGAGGGCUUCGUCAAGAAAAAGGACAAUGGUGAGUGGUUGGUUCAGAGAGUGGGAGGGCUUCGUCAAGAGAAAGGACAAUGGUGAGUGGUUGGUUCAGAGAGUGGGAGGGCUUCGUCAAAGGAAAGGACAAUGGUGAGUGGUUGGUUCAGAGAGUGGGGGGGCUUCGUCAAGGGAAAGGACAAUGGUGAGUGGUUGGUUCAGAGAGUGGGAGGGCUUCGUCAAGGGAAAGGACAAUGGUGAGUGGUUGGUUCAGAGAGUGGGAGGGCUUCGUCAAGGGAAAGGACAAUGGUGAGUGGUUGGUUCAGAGAGUGGGAGGGCUUCGUCAAGGGAAAGGACAAUGAUCCACCGGGACCAAUCGAUAACUCCAAGAUCGCGAUAAACAAGAAUGGCCAUCUAACACUCAAACAAGGAGCUGACUCAGG